AGCCAUUUAAUCACCUGACCUGUAGCGCAAUGUCACGCGACCUCAGAGCGUUUGAAUCAGGUGCGUUUGAAGUUGAUAAGGAGGCAGGCGCUGGCGGUGUCAACAUUACAGAAUUUUAAUUGACUUUAGGAGAUGAGUUGGAGUAUACAGAGGAACCACCAAAUGCUAUCAAGAACUCAUCAGCCCAGACGCUUUGUCCAUGCGUGGCUUACCCUGAGUCAGUGCCGGUGUGAAUGAGGAAGCGUGCACUUUGAGUGCCGAUACCCCCAAGUGAUUAUAACGCAGAAAUCUUGGCCUUUCUGACCACUUUUUGCUUUGAGAAGAUCAGCUUUUUGAACCUUUCAAAUGGUUUCUCACUUCUUACAGUGGACGGGAACAUUUACGGUGGGAGAACAGAUGAAUGUUUUCCAGUCACUGAAGCCCAGCUCCUUGUUCAUUUGGCCAAUUGCUAAUAAAAGAGGAUGUCAAAGACUGAAGUUUUCGUAUCUUAAAGUUAAAAAUGCAGUCGAGCUCCUGAAGACCUGAUGUGGAUGCUUAGAACUUUUCCAACUAGAAUUCCCAACACCUCUUCUUUCUUCUUUAGAGUCUUGUGGAAAAGAUUAAAAAGGUAAACAUUUCCUUGCACUUACAGAGAGAGACUAUUUAUAUAAGUUAUGCAUGGACAUACAGUAUAGUUUGGCUGAUGUUGAUAAGGCUCGCGUGAAACUAAAUGGUAGCAUCUGUUAAGUUCUUGUCGUUUCAGCAGGAAUGGCACACAAUGGGG
ensembl:lncRNA